CCACCUCCAGCUUCUCCAGCGCGCGGAUCUUGAGGCGCGCCAGGCCCUCUUCGUAGGCCACAUCAGCGGACUGCACCCCCACACAGGCUGGAACUAUUGGUACCAUGUUGCAGUGACCAAGACAUCACUCUACCUAAUGACAUCGCAUGUGUCGCUGUUUGUUCUGUCCCGACUUCUGCACCACAUCCUCCUAUCCCUACUACUCCAGGCCCUUAGGUCUUUUUCUCAGACCUAGAAAAGGCCACAACCUCAUCACAUCUAGACUGCUGGCCCAGCCUUCAGUCCCGCAGCUCCAUUCCAUCUGUAAAGGCAUCGGAUUCCUCUGCUCAGACUCCUUCAAGGGCACCCCCAUCCACUACCAACUGCAGCCAAACUCCUCAGCUUCACGAUCUGGCCCCUGUGCUCUUGCCAAUUUGAAACUGGAAAGUGGCCUGGCUGUUUCACUUGCAUGUCCUUGAUUGUGAUGGCUGGACAGUUUUUCACACAUACACUGGCCAUUUCUAUCUCUUUGGUAACUUGCCUGUGCACUACUUUGCUCAUUUUCAUACUGAACAUUCAUAUUUUCUUAUCGAUUUACAAAAGCUUUUAAUAUUAUUGAUCCUGUGUCAUUUAUAUACCUCAAAUAUUUUUCUCAAGUGUGUUGAUUGGCUUUUACUUUUGUUUAUGGUCUUUAUUGAUAUACUAGAGUUUUAAAUUAUGCCGCCGUAAAAUCGGAUUUUGUUAUUAUGCUUAGGAAAUCUCUCCCUACCCAGAGAUUAUAAACAGUUACAUAUGUUUUCUUUCGAUACUUGUGAUUUCCUUUUUUUAAAAUUCCAGAAUAUUUUUUAGAAUUAAGGGCUUUAAACAAAUAGCCCUAAUACCAUAGACUGACAAUGACUUGGUAGUAUUAAAUACUUUAGGCUGUAUGAUUUCCUUUUUCCUUUUGGAUUUUUUUUUGUUUGUUUGUUUUUAGAAACAGGGUCUCACUAUGUUGCCCAGGCCGGUCAGAAAGUGCUAGGCUCAAAUGAUCCACCCACCUCAACCUCCCAAAGUGCUGGGAUUAUAGGCCUGAACCAUUGCAUCUGGCCUACAUUUGGAUUUUUUUUUUCUUUUUUUUUUUGGAAACGGAGUAUCGCUCUGUCGCCCAGGCUGGAGUACAAUGGUGCGAUCUCAGCUCACUGCAGUCACUGCAAUCUCUGCCUCCUGGG
rnacentral:lncRNA from 1 species